AGUUUGAUCCUGGCUCAGGAUGAACGCUAGCUACAGGCUUAACACAUGCAAGUCGAGGGGAAACGACAUCGAAAGCUUGCUUUUGAUGGGCGUCGACCGGCGCACGGGUGAGUAACGCGUAUCCAACCUGCCCACCACUUGGGGAUAACCUUGCGAAAGUAAGACUAAUACCCAAUGACGUCUCUAGAGGACAUCUGAAAGAGAUUAAAGAUUUAUCGGUGAUGGAUGGGGAUGCGUCUGAUUAGCUUGUUGGCGGGGUAACGGCCCACCAAGGCGACGAUCAGUAGGGGUUCUGAGAGGAAGGUCCCCCACAUUGGAACUGAGACACGGUCCAAACUCCUACGGGAGGCAGCAGUGAGGAAUAUUGGUCAAUGGGCGAGAGCCUGAACCAGCCAAGUAGCGUGCAGGAUGACGGCCCUAUGGGUUGUAAACUGCUUUUAUAAGGGAAUAAAGUGAGUCUCGUGAGACUUUUUGCAUGUACCUUAUGAAUAAGGACCGGCUAAUUCCGUGCCAGCAGCCGCGGUAAUACGGAAGGUCCGGGCGUUAUCCGGAUUUAUUGGGUUUAAAGGGAGCGUAGGCCGGAGAUUAAGCGUGUUGUGAAAUGUAGACGCUCAACGUCUGCACUGCAGCGCGAACUGGUUUCCUUGAGUACGCACAAAGUGGGCGGAAUUCGUGGUGUAGCGGUGAAAUGCUUAGAUAUCACGAAGAACUCCGAUUGCGAAGGCAGCUCACUGGAGCGCAACUGACGCUGAAGCUCGAAAGUGCGGGUAUCGAACAGGAUUAGAUACCCUGGUAGUCCGCACGGUAAACGAUGGAUGCCCGCUGUUGGUCUGAAUAGGUCAGCGGCCAAGCGAAAGCAUUAAGCAUCCCACCUGGGGAGUACGCCGGCAACGGUGAAACUCAAAGGAAUUGACGGAAGGGCG
rnacentral:rRNA from 1 species